rnacentral:rRNA from 1 species
CCUACGGGAGGCAGCAGUGGGGAAUAUUGCGCAAUGGGCGAAAGCCUGACGCAGCGACGCCGCGUGAGGGAUGAAGGUCUUCGGAUCGUAAACCUCUGUCAGCAGGGAAGAACGGUCACUGUGCUAAUCAGCAGCGAAUUGACGGUACCUGCAAAGGAAGCACUGGCUAACUCCGUGCCAGCAGCCGCGGUAAUACGGAGGGGGCGAGCGUUAAUCGGAAUUACUGGGCGUAAAGCGCUCGUAGUCGGUAUGUCAAGUCAAGGGUGAAAUCCCCGCGCUCAACGCUGGAACCGCCUUUGAAACUAGCAAACUAGAGGGUGUGAGAGGAUAGUGGAAUUCCAGGUGUAGCAGUGAAA